AUUUUUUUUUUUUUUUUUUUUUCCUUUUUUUUAUGUGUAUGGUUAAAAAAAUAAGCUGAAUGUUAAGCUUUGAUGUAGAUGAAUGAAUGUCAGUGUCUGCUGGAACUUGACCAAGCAUCUGUGCACGAGUACAUAACCACUGUUAAAAACACUCUCAGUGGAGGCUUUUUAAUUUAAUUUAGUCUAAUGGACUUCAGUGCUGAAUCAAUCAGAACUUAUUCAGUUACUAUGUUAUGUAUCUGAUCGGCCAUUUUAUUGAGAUACCACAGAGACAAGAAACUCAUUCUGAUGCAUUGUGCAAUAGAAGCCAGAGACCCUUUCUUCAGUCCACACUGAAGCUUAUUGAAACUUAAGACUCCUUUUUUUUCUUGAAGAUUUUGAAAGAAUUUAACCUUUGAACUCAUUUUCCCACCUUGCCUCUGCUUGUCUGGCUUGCUGGCUGUUCGGUAUUUGCGUGGAAAGGAGGAACUGUUAAUUGUGUUUGACGUCACUUCAUGCAGUUUUAAACCUGGCAUGUGUGGGAUCACACAGUCUCCCAGCCACUUCUUCACCAAACAGAACAGAAACGGAAUCCAGAGCGGAGACACAUGGCAUGGGAGUCAGGCACAAUACCAAAUACAAUGGGUUUCUCUUAAUGCAGUACAGAGUAAGAGACCUGUGCAUUUGGUACAAACAUAAAAGAUAUCUAUGCGUUCUAUGUCUCUUCUUAAAUGGGGUAUUAUCAUAGCACUUAUUGCAAGAGUUAUGCUCCUUCUGUGAAGCCAAUAAAUCAGAUAAUGGAGUGUAUAGUUACAAAAAAAAAAAAAAAAAAAAACAACCUUCUAAUGGCAACUUUUUACUUUUUAUUUUUUUCUCUGGUCCAGAAACUUGAGUACAGAAAAAAAAGAAAAAAAAAUUCAGAAUGAAGGGAAGAACAAACUCUACAAUCAAACAAAACUCACAAUGUAUGUUUUUUGUGUCUGUACUUUUUUCCCACUCUCUCUCAAAGUGAUUGACAUUGUUACUCAAAUGAAAUAGUCAAAUGUCUUUAUCUGUCUGAAGGAGGCACCUCGAUUUGAUUGGAUUUGAAAAGGAGGAUGUGUGGUGUGUUAGUGCCUCAAUGUGGGAACUGAUUGGAGGACGUUUGAUUCUCCAUCACAACUCUCUCCGUGCACCUAGUACAAUGGAAUGCAAGAAAGGACAUUAAUGACGUCAUGAUGUGCACGUUGUCGUCGUCAUUUAUCAUUUGCAUCCUUGUUGUAGUAAUUGGGUACGGAUUUUUGAAUGUCUCCCCGUUCCUUCUCUGGAUAACAUCACCCCUCUCAUGCAUCCUUACCAAGUUUGAGACUGAAUGGAAUUGCCAGUGUUGUGAAACAUGCUUUUUCACAUUCUUUUGGUCUUCAUGCAGUGGUCUUUAACUGCCUUGCAGUGCUCAUAUGCAGAUACACUUUAAAAGAGGUGCCUCUGUAUAGCUGUCUUGUGUAACGAAUGCAAACAAAGAUCAGUGAUGGGGGCCAUGUUGGUUUUUGUUGUUAACAGUGUUCUUAGGUCAUUUAGAUUAGGGCCUCUUUUGUUGAUGUGCGUGUAUGUGACCUCACCCUGGGUAUCCCACCUCUAACUCAGCUGCUAGCAUCUUCUUUCUCUUAUGUGGCCUCAGUGAAGCCAACCCUGUUAUCGAGACAAGCCACCCAUACUUGAAAAAGCCCUGUCCAAGCAGUGUUUCUAUGGACAGACUCUUUCUGCCACUGGUUCUUUAACUACAGCCCAUGGCAUGCUGUCACUAUGCAAAGUUAGAGAAGAUGGGCAAGUAAUGUCCGCCCUGUGCCAAUCUGUGGCUUUGAAAGAAAGUAGGAAAUAUCUCACAGUCCUCCCAUAAUACUUUCUUGCAUACUCAAGGUCAUUGUCAUCCUUUUAAACUUAGAAUGUUGUCUGACACUAAGCCAGUUACAUUUUUGGAGGACUGUGUGUUAAUUCUGCUGAAUUUGAUCAAUCUCAUUUCAGUAUAAUCUCAGGGCAAGACAAGAUUAACUAAAUUUAUGUUUAUUGAAAGUCGAUCAUUUUGGAGAUUUAUCAUUUGUAAGCUUUACACAUUUAAUGAUGUGUAUGAAGCUUACAAAGUGUACAUUAAAGAAACGCAAGGGGAUAUUUAUCAGUGGGGCAAUAAAUUUAGGAGGGUGGCUAGUUUGAGUCUUCUCAAUCCUUUUGAACAGGGACUGCUGCAGAGCCAUCAGUUUGUUUAUACAGUAAAUGGGACCUGUGUAUCUUACCUCUCUGCUGCUGGUUGUGCUGAAUUCCCCUUAUGGUCUCAUGUGCCAGUAUAUACAUAGAUAUAUGUACAGUACACUGUGGCAUCUCUGACUUCACAUCUUAAAUUCCAAUGCGUGUCGUUUUGUUUAUUGAGCACUUCUGUUGAGUGGCACUUUGAUGAUUGUUGUGUGUUUGAGGUGGGAUUAGGUUCAAAAUGGUUGAGGAUAUUCGUCAGAUAUUUGUCACCUCAUCCUGAUUAUUUGUGAUAAUCUUGUUACUGUCAUUGGAAGAAUCCUAUAUAACAAACAAGAACUUUAACAGCAUUGGGGUUAUGGUAUGCUAAAGGCAUACUUUUUUUGAAUACCAA
ensembl:lncRNA